GAUGAACGCUGGCGGCGUGCUUAACACAUGCAAGUCGAACGAUGAAGCCCAGCUUGCUGGGUGGAUUAGUGGCGAACGGGUGAGUAACACGUGAGUAACCUGCCCUUAACUCUGGGAUAAGCCUGGGAAACUAGGUCUAAUACCGGAUAGGAGCGCCUACCGCAUGGUGGGUGUUGGAAAGAUUUAUCGGUUUUGGAUGGACUCGCGGCCUAUCAGCUUGUUGGUGAGGUAAUGGCUCACCAAGGCGACGACGGGUAGCCGGCCUGAGAGGGUGACCGGCCACACUGGGACUGAGACACGGCCCAGACUCCUACGGGAGGCAGCAGUGGGGAAUAUUGCACAAUGGGCGAAAGCCUGAUGCAGCGACGCCGCGUGAGGGAUGACGGCCUUCGGGUUGUAAACCUCUUUCAGUAGGGAAGAAGCGAAAGUGACGGU
rnacentral:rRNA from 1 species